rnacentral:rRNA from 1 species
AGCGAGCGUUAGCGGCGGGCCUAACACAUGCAAGUCGAGCGAGAAAGUGGCUUCGGCCAUCGGUAAAGCGGCGGACGGGUGAGUAACACGUAGGUAAUUUUCCCUUGAGCGGGGGACAACGUUCCGAAAGGGACGCUAAUACCGCAUACGUUUCCGAGGGCUUCGGCCUUUGGAAGGAAAGCUAGGCCGCAAGGUCCGGCACUCGAGGAGAAGCCUGCGUAGCAUCAGCUAGUUGGUGAGGUAANGGCUCACCAAGGCGAAGACGUUUAGUCUGGUCUGAGAGGAUGAUCAGCCACACUGGGACUGAGACACGGCCCAGACUCCUACGGGAGGCAGCAGUGGGGAAUAUUGGACAAUGGGCGCAAGCCUGAUCCA